CUUCAGCCCAUAUUGUCCAUCACAUUCAAUGUAUGAAGAAAACUGGACUCUUCUGUACUUGAGAAAUGAAAAGUUUAUUUGUUUUAUUUCUAAAGGCAUCAACAUGCAAGUUGGAUCUGAGAUUAGGAUUGCUAAAAUGAAUUCAAACACUAAAGUUCUGUUCUUGAAGAUCCAGAGAUGUAUGCACGUGAAGCCUCCUUAUAACUGAGAGGAAAAAGAUCUAGUCUGGUUUUGGGACUUGGACUGAGCCGCUACUGGCUUCCUUGCUCUUCAACUUGCAGACAAACUGUAGUGGGACUUCACCUUGUGAUCAUGCUGCUGACUAACUUAAUGAACCGAACAGAUUAAAAUGGUGCAAGAGAAAAGGGCAUUUUUACACAAAAGGAAGCAUUUUCUGUGUUCCAGUUCAGCUGUUCCAAUGACAUUUGGUGGUGUUAUCAGUGUGAAUUAUACAAGCAAGUUUCUUUAUCCAGACUGACGCAUCAACCAUGAUCUAGCAUUUGCAAGAUGUGUAAUUACUUUGACUUUCAAGAAAACAUCUUCUGAUCUAAGGAACUUCCCAAGAUAUCAAAGCUGGCUGGCUCAGGAAUACUCUCACAGUGAUGGCAGAAGAGCAAAUCUGGAAGUUCAAACACUCAAAUGUGUUGUUGGAUUUCUGCAUGCAUCACAUGGGCUAACAACUGGUCAAAGCAAAUCACAUGGCCAAACUAAAAAUCAAAGGCCUGGAAGAAAGUUCACAGAAUGUUGAGCCAUUCUCCAAGCAAUUGUGUUCGACAGGACAACUUAGGAAUCAAAUUAGAAAGGCUGCACCUUGCCAUAACCAUGCGUCAUCUGGUGCUGCCUUUUCUGGACAGCACACACCCACACAAAAUGCUGGAGACUCUCAUACUGGCAGUUUAGUUCUUCAAAC
rnacentral:lncRNA from 1 species